rnacentral:tRNA from 1 species
GCGGAAGUAGCUCAGUUGAUAGAGCAUUAGCCUUCCAAGCUGAAGGUCGCGGGUUUGAGCCCCGUCUUCCGCU